UUAGAAACUAUUACUGGUUGAAUCUUAUUGAAUUGAAUAUUACUGGUUGAAUCUUACCUAUGUGUAUCUGUCUUAUCUAACAAUUGCAUGUGCUGUGAUCACCUGGAGUGCUUCAUUUGGCUUCUCUCGGUGUUGUCAAUACUUGCUAUGCUGAAGGUUGAAUGGGAGUUCAGUUCCAAAGGGCUGAUGCUGUUCCUGCAGGAGGGUACUUUCAAGUUGUGAUUUGGUACGUGCUUGUUCCUAUACCACUGUUAGGAUGAUGAUCUGCAGAGAUUGGUGUUCCCCUCGAGAAGCCGGUCAUUUUACUCUGCCCUGCAUUGGAGUGGUCAGCUGAAAGAGAUGUAUAUGGGCUGCGUGUGCCGUGCGGAAAGCUUGUAAGGCAAUGGAUCCUGGCACAGCUCAGCCAGGUGCCUCACAGCAGCAUCAGGAGGGAAGAGAUAAAGAGUGCCAUACCGACCAGAAGGUGGGGUGGAAAUCAUCACCUUGCCAUCUCUGAACACCUCGCUGUGAGGCAGCCUUGCCUGGCCUAUGAGCUCUAGGGUUGCAGUCCUCCUGUGAACGUCCUCCGAGGGGACUAGGGACCAGGAAGCCCAACAAAACUGGGAAAGAGACAACUUGGCCACUGGGGUGCUUUGUCAGCUUUUUCUACCCUGUGCCAGGUCCC
rnacentral:lncRNA from 1 species